AGAGAGUGCAAGCGUUAAUCGGAAUUAUUGGGCGAAAAGCGCGCGUAGGCGGAUGCUCCAGUUGGGUGUGAAAUCCCCGGGCUUAACCUGGGAAUUGCAUUCAAUACUAGGCAUCUAGAGUAUGGUAGAGGGAAGUGGAAUUUCCGGUGUAGCGGUGAAAUGCGUAGAUAUCGGAAGGAACACCAGUGGCGAAGGCGGCUUCCUGGACCAAUACUGACGCUGAGGUGCGAAAGCGUGGGGGAGCAAACAGGAUUAGAGACCCUGGUAGUCCACGCCGUUAACGAUGAGAACUAGACGUUGGAGGGGUUGCCCUUUAGUGUCGUAGCUAACGCGUUAAGUUCUCCGCCUGGGGAGUACGACCGCAAGGUUA
rnacentral:rRNA from 1 species